GUGACUGGAAGUAAUUUGUCUUUUCAUCUGACAGAUGAUUAUUAAUAUGACACCCUUUCAUUAAUUAUUAUGGCAGCUUAUUUGCCAAUAAAUUAUUGUUCUCCACUGGAGUCAACACUGCGAGUGGCAGUGACAGUUGAUCUGGUGUUGGCACCAGUAGAAAGGGGAGUGCCCACAGGGAAUUAACAGCUCUAGGAAAUUAAAUUGCCUGUUGUUUGGAUGUGCGACGAGGACUGCAGAGGAUUCUUUUAAGGAUCUGAGAUUCACAUAGGAGAGGGUCUUCAGGAGGAGACACCACACCAAGCCCCGCCAUGUUCAGCAGGUUUAAGCAGUUGAUGGGGGCUCCCAAGCCUCCCCCUGCUCAAGCCGCUACCCCACCUUCUACCCCAGCUCCACCCGCUAAGGAAGAGAAGCCCCCUGAAAAGAAGGAUGAAAAAGAGCAGCCAAAAAAAGAGGGUGAAAAGGAAGAAGAGGAAAAGAAAGAUGAUGAAAAGAAAGAGGAGGACAAAAAAGAGGAAAAGAAAGAAGAAGUGAAGAAAGAAGAAGAGCCCAAGAAGGAAGAGCCAGGUGAGAAGUAUUUAUUUGAUCUGGAUUAUUAUUCGGAUGCACGUCAGCAUGCCUAUUAGUGAUGUGACAUUUUCAGAAAUCAAAAGCCUUGCACCUUGACUGACAUGUACUUUCUUCCACGCACCUGUGCAGUGUAGUUUCAUACUGUUACAUACUCUUUCUCCUUUUGUCUGACAGUUUUGUCUGUCUGUUUUGAGCUUAUAUGGCUUCAAGCAGAUCACUUGGCAAAUUAUGUUAUCUGGCAGAGGGCAAUGAAGACGUUAAAGGACCAGUGUGUAGGAUUUAGUGGCAUCUAGUGGUGAAGUUGCAAAUUGUAACUAACUGAACACUGCUCCCGUCUGUAUUUGACAACUUGGGAAUGGGAACCUGAAGUGUGUAAACUACAGUGGAACUCACAACAAAUGCAAAAGGAGCUAUCUAUAGCCAGUGUUUGGUUUGUCUCUUCUGGUCUGCUGUAGAAACAUGGCGUGGCACGUUUAGUGUUUGUGUUCAGUUGUUAGAAACUGAGUGCUGCUUGAUUAUUCUUCCAGCUCCUGCCCCAGCUCCAGCUCCUGCCCCAGCUCCUGCCCCAGCUCCAGCUCCUGCUGCUGCUCCUGCUGCUGCUCCUGCUCCUGCUGCUCCUGAAAAUCCAGAGGGUGCUGAUGGGUAAGAAUGCAUCAUAUACUGUGUGUACCUCACA
rnacentral:lncRNA from 1 species